GGUAAUUCUGGAGCUAAUACAUGCACAAAAGUUGAAUCUUAUGGAUUCAAUGCGUAUAUUAGUUGAAAACCAAGCAUCUUCGGAUGUUUUGUGUUGAAACUGAAUAUAUCUGCUGAUCGUAUGGUCUUGUACCGACGACAUGUCAUUCAAGUGUCUGAUCUAUCAACUUUCUAUAUAAGUAUAUAGUACUUAUAUGGUUUUGACGGAUAACGGAGUAUUAGGGUACGACUCCGGAGAAAAUGCCUGAGAAACGGCGUUUACAUCCAAGGAAGGCAGCAGGCGCGAAAAUUACCCACUCUCAGUUCGAGGAGGUAGUGACGAGAAAUGACAAGAUCUAUUCCUUCGGGGAUGGAUCAUUGGAAUGGUUUGAUUUUAAAACCAUUAAAGAGUAUCAAUGAGAGGGCAA
rnacentral:rRNA from 1 species